rnacentral:rRNA from 1 species
UACGUAGGGGGCUAGCGUUGUCCGUAAUCAUUGGGCGUAAAGCGCGUGUAGGCGGUCCGGUAAGUCCGCUGUGAAAGUCGGGGGCUCAACCCUCGGAUGCCGGUGGAUACUGUCGGGCUUGAGUACGGAAGAGGCGAGUGGAAUUCCCGGUGUAGCGGUGGAAUGCGUAGAGAUCGGGAAGAACAUCAGUGGCGAAGGCGGUCUGCUGGGCCGUUGCUGACGCUGAGGCGCGACAGCGUGGGGAGCAAACAGG